GACGAACGCUGGCGGCGUGCUUAACACAUGCAAGUCGAACGAUGAACCCGGAGCUUGCUCCGGCGGAUUAGUGGCGAACGGGAGAGUAACCCGUGAGUAACCUGCCCUUGACUCUGGGAUAACUGCUAGAAAUGGUAGCUAAUACCGGAUACGACCCUCGGUGGCAUCACCAGGGGGUGGAAAGAAUUUCGGUCAAGGAUGGACUCGCGGCCUAUCAGCUAGUUGGUGAGGUAACGGCUCACCAAGGCGACGACGGGUAGCCGGCCUGGGAGGGGGACCGGCCACACUGGGACUGAGACACGGCCCAGACUCCUACGGGAGGCAGCAGUGGGGAAUAUUGCACAAUGGGCGCAAGCCUGAUGCAGCAACGCCGCGUGAGGGAUGACGGCCUUCGGGUUGUAAACCUCUUUUAGUAGGGAAGAAGCGAAAGUGACGGUACCUGCAGAAAAAGCACCGGCUAACUACGUGCCAGCCGCCGCCGUAA
rnacentral:rRNA from 1 species